CGCACAUUGCGCCCAUUAGUAUUCUAGUGGGCAUGCCUGUUCGAGCGUCAUUUCAACCCUUAAGCCUCUGUUGCUUAGUGUUGGGAGCCUACAGCACUCGUAGCUCCUCAAAGUUAGUGGCGGAGUCGGUUCACACUCUAGACGUAGUAAUUCUAUCUCGCCUAUCAGUUGGACCGGUCCCCUGCCGUAAAACCCUUCUUUCUAAAGGUUGACCUCGGAUCAGGUAGGAAUACCCGCUGAACUUAA
rnacentral:misc_RNA from 1 species